UACGGGGGGGGGUAAGCGUUGUUCGGAAUUACUGGGCGUAAAGGGCUCGUAGGCGGCCAACUAAGUCAUACGUGAAAUCCCUCAGCUUAACUGGGGAACUGCGUGUGAUACUGGAUGGCUUGGAUUUGGGAGAGGGAUGCGGAAUUCCAGGUGUAGCGGUGAAAUGCGUAGAUAUCUGGAGGAAUACCGGUGGCGAAGGCGGCAUCCUGGACCGACAUUGACGCUGAGGAGCGAAAGCUAGGGGAGCAAACGGGG
rnacentral:rRNA from 1 species